rnacentral:tRNA from 1 species
GGGCGGUUAGCUCAGUCAGUUAGAGGGUGGUGCUGAUAACACUGAGGUCAUGGGUUCCAUCCCCGUUUGGUCCC